rnacentral:rRNA from 1 species
UUAUUUAGUUUUAUAGGGGAAAAAGUGAAAAUAUUAUUUAUUAUAUUGUAGAGGGGAGGCUAUAAUGUAAUUUAUAAUAAAAAAUUCAUUUAUUGUACCUUUUGUAUCAGGGUUAAUUUAAAUUUAAGUUUAAGAAUUUUUUCUCGACAAAAAAAGAUUUAGAAAAUUAAAGUGCUAAUGUUUUAUUAUUAGGCUUAAUAAUUAUCUAGUUUUGAAAAAAAUCAAGAUUUUUUUUAUCUAGUUACUUUUUAGUUGAUUUAAUCAGUUUUAUUUUUGUAAUUUAUUUAUAGUAAUAACAAAUACUUUCAGGGAUAAGCUUGAGUUUGGAAUUUUAGCUCUGUUUUAAUAAUAAUUUUGUAAGCUUAGAAUUAGCAAUUUUUUUAAUAUUUAAAAAUCAACUUAAUUUUUUUAAUGAUUUUAUAGUAGCUUUACGGGGAGGUAAAGUUAUUUAAUUUAAUUAUAAAAUUAAGAUAAUAAUGAUUAAAUUAGUAGAAUAAAAAGUGUAACUUAAGAAUUCGGCAAAAGUAAUUUUUGACUGUUUAACAAAAACAUUUCUGAGGGGAAAAUGUUUUUGGUAUAACCUGCUCAAUGCUUUAGUAAAUAGCUGCAGUAUUUUGACUGUACAAAGGUAGCAUAAUCAUUAGUCUUUUGAUUGAAGGCUUGUAUGAAUGGUUGAACAGAAUAUUAACUUUUUUAGUUGCACGAAAUUUUAAUUUGUAGUUUAUGUAAAAAUGCAUAAUUAUUUAAGAGGGACGAUAAGACCCUAUAGAAUUUGAAAGUAUUUGUUGGAAUUUUAUAUUUUUUUGUUGGGGUGACAUUAAAUAAACUUUUAUAAGAUUUUCAUUGAUGAGUGAUUAGAUGAUCCUGUAAUUUCAGAUAAAAAGAUAAAAUUACCUUAGGGAUAACAGCAUAAUUUUUUUUAAAAGAUCUUAUUAAUAAAAAAGAUUAUGACCUCGAUGUUGAAUUAAAAUAAAAUUUUGGUGUAGAAGCUAAUUUUUUUAGUCUGUUCGACUUUAUAUUUUACAUGAUUUGAGUUCAGACCGGCGUGAGCCAGGUUGGUUUCUAUCUUUUUAAAAUAUGUAUGAUUUAGUACGAAAGGACCAGUUAUACAAAUUUUUAUUGUAAAUUGUUGAAUAAAAUUAGCAUUAAAUC